UGGGGAAUAUUGCGCAAUGGGGGAAACCCUGACGCAGCGACGCCGCGUGCGGGAUGAAGGCCUUCGGGUUGUAAACCGCUUUUGAUUGGGAGCAAGCUUUCGGGUGAGUUUACCUUUCGAAUAAGCGCCGGCUAACUACGUGCCAGCAGCCGCGGUAAUACGUAGGGCGCAAGCGUUAUCCGGAAUUAUUGGGCGUAAAGAGCUUGUAGGAGGUUCGUCGCGUCUGGUGUGAAAGCCCAUCGCUUAACGGUGGGUUUGCGCCGGGUACGGGCGGGCUAGAGUGCAGUAGGGGAGACUGGAAUUCCCGGUGUAACGGUGGAAUGUGUAGAUAUCGGGAAGAACACCAAUGGCGAAGGCAGGUUUCUGGGCUGUUACUGACGCUGAGAAGCGAAAGCGUGGGGAGCGAACAGG
rnacentral:rRNA from 1 species